rnacentral:rRNA from 1 species
GACGAACGCUGGCGGCGUGCCUAAUACAUGCAAGUUGAGCGCUGAAGGUUGGUACUUGUACCAACUGGAUGAGCAGCGAACGGGUGAGUAACGCGUGGGGAAUCUGCCUUUGAGCGGGGGACAACAUUUGGAAACGAAUGCUAAUACCGCAUAAAAACUUUAAACACAAGUUUUAAGUUUGAAAGAUGCAAUUGCAUCACUCAAAGAUGAUCCCGCGUUGUAUUAGCUAGUUGGUGAGGUAAAGGCUCACCAAGGCGAUGAUACAUAGCCGACCUGAGAGGGUGGUCGGCCACAUUGGGACUGGGACACGGCCCAAACUCCUACGGGAGGCAGCAGUAGGGAAUCUUCGGCAAUGGACGAAAGUCUGACCGAGCAACGCCGCGUGAGGGAAGAAGGUUUUCGGAUCGUAAAACUCUGUUGGUAGAGAAGAACGUUGGUGAGAGUGGAAAGCUCAUCAAGUGACGGUAACUACCCAGAAAGGGACGGCUAACUACGUG